rnacentral:lncRNA from 1 species
CGCCCACAGCCACUACUAUAAGAAAAUAUAAGAAAAUAUAAACAAUGGUAGGAACAAAGAAGUAGCAGGCAAUACAAGGCUCACACAAAUUAGAUGAAAUAAUAAAGAAAAAAAAACUAAAAUCAAAUAGGAAGAAAAAACAAAACCAAGGUAAGGACAAAACUAGCAGUAAGAAAAAUAGAGCACACUAAUGGCCUGGCACCAAGGACAGCCAAACAAAUAAUAAGGGGCGGUGCAAGUCACGAAUAUACUACAGUAGACACAUAAGUCAAGAUAUAGGAGAUAGUAUGAGAAAUAAUCUGAAGCAAUAUAAGAUGUGACAGUAAUAAAGCAAUAGAAAAAGGAAGGUACAAGUAAAGUA